rnacentral:rRNA from 1 species
UACGGAGGGGGCUAGUGUUGUUCGGAAUUACUGGGCGUAAAGCGCACGUAGGCGGCUUUGUACGUUAGAGGUGAAAGCCCAGGGCUUAACCCUGGAAUUGCCUUUAAGACUGCAUCGCUAGAAUCGUGGAGAGGUGAGUGGAAUUCCGAGUGUAGAGGUGAAAUUCGUAGAUAUUCGGAAGAACACCAGUGGCGAAGGCGACUCACUGGACACGUAUUGACGCUGAGGUGCGAAAGCGUGGGGAGCAAACAGG